rnacentral:lncRNA from 15 species
AUGGAGUCCGCACACAACACAGAGUCCACAACACAGAGUCCACAACACAGAGUCCACAACACAGAGUCCAACACAGAGUCCACAACACAGAGUCCAACACAGAGUCCACAACACAGAGUCCACAACACAGAGUCCAACACAGAGUCCACAACACAGAGUCCACAACACAGAGUCCAACACAGAGUCCAACACAGUAGUCCACAACACAGAGUCCACAACACAGAGUCCAACACAGAGUCCACAACACAGAGUCCAACACAGAGUCCAACACAGAGUCCACAACACAGAGUCCAACACAGAGUCCAACACAGAGUCCAACACAGAGUCCACAACACAGAGUCCAACAGAGUCCAACACAGAGUCCACAACACAGAGUCCAACACAGAGUCCAACACAGAGUCCAACACAGAGUCCACAACACAGAGUCCACAACACAGAGUCCAACACAGAGUCCACAACACAGAGUCCAACACAGAGUCCACAACACAGAGUCCACAACACAGAGUCCAACACAGAGUCCACAACACAGAGUCCAACACAGAGUCCACAACACAGAGUCCAACACAGAGUCCACAACACAGAGUCCAACACAGAGUCCACAACACAGAGUCCAACACAGUCCACAACACAGAGUCCACAACACAGAGUCCAACACAGAGUCCAACACAGAGUCCACAACACAGAGUACAACACAGAGUCCAACACAGAGUCCACAACACAGAGUCCACAACACAGAGUCCAACACAGAGUCCAACACAGAGUCCACAACACAGAGUCCACAACCCGGAGUCCAACACAGAGUCCACAACACAGAGUCCAACACAGAGUCCACAACACAGAGUCCACAACACAGAGUCCACACACAGAGUCCAACACAGAGUCCACAACACAGAGUCCACAACACAGAGUCCACAACACAGAGUCCAACACAGAGUCCAACACAGAGUCCACAACACAGAGUCCACAACCCGGAGUCCAACACAGAGUCCACAACACAGAGUCCAACACAGAGUCCACAACACAGAGUCCAACACAGAGUCCAACACAGAGUCCACAACACAGAGUCCAACACAGAGUCCACCACAGAGUCCAACACAGAGUCCACCACAGAGUCCAACACAGAGUCCACAACACAGAGUCCAAAGUCAAAGCUAA